UACGGGGGGGGCAAGCGUUGUUCGGAAUUACUGGGCGUAAAGGGCUCGUAGGCGGCCAACUAAGUCGGAUGUGAAAUCCCCAGGCUUAACCUGGGAACUGCGUCUGAUACUGGACGGCUUGAGUAUGGGAGAGGGAUGUAGAAUUCCAGGUGUAGCGGUGAAAUGCGUAGAUAUCUGGAGGAAUACCGGUGGCGAAGGCGGCAUCCUGGACCAUUACUGACGCUGAGGCGCGAAAGCUAGGGGAGCAAACGGG
rnacentral:rRNA from 1 species